rnacentral:rRNA from 1 species
CUGUUUAAUCAAAAACAUUUCUAUCAGAAUUAAUUAAUAGUAAAAUCUGCUCAAUGAAAAUUAAAUAGCCGCAAAUUUUAACUGUGCUAAGGUAGCAUAAUCAUUAGUUUUUUAAUUAAAAACCAGAACAAACGAUUAAACAUUUUAAUUAAAAUCUAAAAUUUAUAAUUUUUAAAUUUUACUAAAUGUAAAAAUACAUUUAUGUAAAAGAAAGACGACAAGACCCUAUUGAAUUUAACUAAAGUUUAAUUGGGGCAAUUAAUUAAUAAUUAUUUUAAUAAUUUUAAUAAACAUAUAGACCUAAUAUAAUUAAAUUAUGAUCAAAUUACCAUAGGGAUAACAGCGUAAUAAUUAUUUAAAGCUCUUAUUUAAAUGAUAGAUUGCGACCUCGAUG